AUCCAGUUGACGAGUCGCAAAUAGGAUGAAACGCGCAUCCUGACUGGAU
rfam:Trichobilharzia regenti genome assembly, scaffold: TRE_scaffold0000441